UUGCUUAAAUGGCAGGGGAUACACCAUGAUCAGGAAGGUGGUUUUCCCAGGGUGAGACUCAUCCAUUGCAUUCUGGCUGUGCUGGCCCCUGUGAUUUCCCUAAAUGAGGGAAACUUAACUGCAUAAUUUGUGUCCAC
rnacentral:snRNA from 1 species